rnacentral:tRNA from 1 species
UAAAAUGAAGCAAUUAAUUGCAUUUCAUUUACAUUGAGAAGUUAGUCUUUAAAGACCAUUUUAA